rnacentral:rRNA from 1 species
ACCCCAUGGAGCUUUAAACCCAAUUAUAUCUCUAACCACUAUAACCAUUUAACCACUUAGAACUUAUAUACUUGGUUUUAGGUUGGGGCGACCACGGAGCACAACCAAACCUCCACGAUGAACGGAACAACCCCCUUAUCUGAGAAUUACACUUCUAAGAAUUAGCACACUAACAUAAAAUGACCCAUUAUUGAUCAACGAACCAAGUUACCCUGGGGAUAACAGCGCAAUCCAUUUUAAGAGCCCCUAUCGACAAAUGGGUUUACGACCUCGAUGUUGGAUCAGGAUAUCCCAGUGGUGCAGCAGCUGCUAAAGGUUCGUUUGUUCAACGAUUAAAAUCCU